CCCUAAGCCACCACAGUCUAUUAGUUUUGUUUUGUUUUUUUGGUACCGGGGAUUGAACUCUGGACCUUGCACUUGCGAGGCAGGCGCCAGAACCACUGAGCUAAAUCCCCAGCCCUAUUAGUUUUUAUUUAGGUCAUCAAGAAGCUGUUGAGGCCUCAAUUAUUCGGUCGAAGCACAGGAACAGGGAGACAUUUUAGACGAGAGAACACAUAGUCAUGAAGGAUCCACGGGGGAUCGCAAAGACCUGCCUCCCAGUGGACGCCCCGGGAGUUUGGCCGGCUUCCCCUGAUCAGGCUAAGGCUGCCUGUGGUGACGCACUGCUGAGCACUUCCGUGGGGCUUUGCUGUCCCUGCAUGAGGAGCAAACCCUGAGGUCCUGUGCUGGGCAGUUUACCGCUGAAGUCUGCUCAGUGUGACGGUAAAUAACAGCCCCUUUCCGAGUCCACAGCACACUGAAAAGAUCCUCUUUUGUUGCCAGUUCAGAGAGUCCAGGUGUUCGAGUAUCAGAGUGUUCCAUCUCGUUUCCCUUUGGAGUUGCUGUAGGUGAUCUGGAAGUCUGUUUUUGAGGCUUGUUUAUGUGUCUCCUCAUUUCCACAGGUGGGGGGGGUGCUUCUGGCACCCGUGCAGCUCACCUUCUCUGCCCUAGGAGCUUGGGAUGGCGGCUGGGGAGCUUCCUUCUGGGUGCUGGGACCGGCUGAGCUUCUUUGCCCUAGCAGCCUGGGAUGGAGGUAGGGGAGCUUCCUUCGGGGUGCAGGGACCAGCUCACCUUCUUAGCCCUAGGAGCCUGGGAUGGCAGUGGGGGAGCUUCCUUCCGGGUUCUGGGACUGGCUGAGCUUCACUGCCCUUAAGGAUGUAGUUCAUACAAUAGGAAAUACACGGAAUUUAGUUUUUAGGUGUUUAAACUAGUAAGGCCAGAAAAUGUCGAUAUAUUCAACAUAUUUAAUUUCCUGAGAGUCCCUGUUACGUUCAAGAAAGCAGGAUAGUUUGGGGAUGUAUUCCUAACACCUGGGUAUAUUAGUCAGAACCACUCUUGUUGCAAGUGAUAAAAAUUGAAACUAAUGACCUGGAAAAAAAAAUAAAAGAGGUAAACCUAGGUUGGUGUAGUUGGGGACAGCGGUCAAAGAGAUUGCGAGGACUCAUGAAUCUCACCGCUUCCCCUCCUCUCAGCUCUGUUGUAUUCUGUGCUUCUCUCAUCCUGAGGCUGCUUCUCAUGUGGAGCAAAGGUGGCCUGAGGACAAGGAGGGGAAGUGGAAGAAACCUGGAUUUUCUGUGUUCCGGAAGUCCCUGAAGUUCUGAGUCCCCUUCCUUCCAGUGCCCUUGUCAACUCCUGAAGAAGGGUUCUGAGGGCAGAGUGCCUACCCAGCAGGUGUAAGGACCUGGCUUCCCACCUCAGCACCACAAACAGACAAACAAAACAAAACAGGACUCUGAGAUGCCCAUCUCUGAAUCCUUCACUGUUACCAGGAAGUUGAAGUACUGCGUCCUGCCCGAUCAGAGACAAAACAGCUAAACAGCUGGGGACUCCAGGAGCCAGGAUGGGGGAGCAGUCACCCUCCCCAGAGCUACAGAACUGAGGAUGAAGUGGGGGUCACUUACCAAACCAUGACUGGGAAAGAAGAGGGAACCCACUAUCUGCUUUCUCUAUGGAAAUGCUGUGUGACUGGUUUCCAGUUGUCCUAGGAGCAUAGGAUGACUUCUCAGUACCGGGGCUCUUCCUCCUCCCAUCUUUGGAUCACCUCCUCCUGGUUGGUGUGGCAGGAUCGACUUCCAAACAUGGCAGAAGCCACAGUACGCCACUUCUGGGAUUAGGUUCCACAGGCUGCAGGUCCCAUCUUGGAUUCUCUUCAUUUUUCUGGAUUUCUCUUGAAUGUUUCCUCUGGGAAAUGCCAGCCACUGCAUUGUGAGUCAGCCCUGUGGAGAGGCCCAUAGACAGGAGCUCUCCAAGACUAACAAUGGUCAAGUGGACUCUGCCCUCCCAGUCUGGCCUUCAAGGGUGACCUCAGGUGUGGAUGACAGCUUGAACACAGCCUCCUGAGAAACCAGUGCCAGAAGUACUCAGGAAAGAGUUCCUGACCUCCAGAACCUCCCCAAAGCAGAGAUACCACAUUUUGUUUUUAUAAUGCACUAAGUUUGGGGGCAGUUUGUUCCAUAGCAGUAGAUAACUACUACACUAUGGUUGGUAGAAUUAAGCA
ensembl:lncRNA